rnacentral:piRNA from 1 species
UAGCUGAUUAUAACUAACAUCCCGGUUCCC